rnacentral:tRNA from 1 species
GUCCCUAUCGUCUAGAGGCCUAGGACAUCGCCCUUUUCACGGCGGUAACCGGGGUUCGAAUCCCCGUAGGGACGCCA